rnacentral:rRNA from 1 species
CGAAAAUUGUAGUAGCGAAGGUCAUGAUCUCACACUGCCAAGAAAAGCCUCUAGCCAGGAGAAGGUGCCCGUACCGCAAACCGACACAGGUAGGCGAGAAGAGAAUUCUAAGGCGCGCGGAAGAACUCUCGUUAAGGAACUCGGCAAAAUGACCCCGUAACUUCGGGAGAAGGGGUGCCCCGGUAGUGUGAAUAGCACGAGGGGGCCGCAGUGAAAAGGCCCAAGCGACUGUUUAGCAAAAACACAGGUCUGUGCGAAGCCGCAAGGCGAAGUAUACGGGCUGACGCCUGCCCGGUGCUGGAAGGUUAAGGGGAGUGGUUAGGGGUAACCCGAAGCUAUGAACCGAAGCCCCAGUAAACGGCGGCCGUAACUAUAACGGUCCUAAGGUAGCGAAAUUCCUUGUCAGGUAAAUUCUGACCCGCACGAAUGGCGUAACGACUUGGGCGCUGUCUCAACGAGAGAUCCGGUGAAAUUUUAAUACCUGUGAAGAUGCAGGUUACCCGCGACAAGACGGAAAGACCCCAUGGAGCUUUACUGCAGCUUGAUAUUGAAUUUGGGUACGAUCUGUACAGGAUAGGUGGGAGCCGUAGAAAUCGGAGCGCAAGCUUCGGUGGAGGCGCCGUUGGGAUACCACCCUGAUCGUAUCUAGGUUCUAACCUAGUACCCUUACCGGGUACGGGGACCGUGUCAGGCGGGCAGUUUGACUGGGGCGGUCGCCUCCUAAAGAGUAACGGAGGCGUUCCAAGGUUCCCUCAGAAUGGUUGGAAAUCAUUCGCAGAGUGCAAAGGCAUAAGGGAGCUUGACUGCGAGACCUACAAGUCGAGCAGGGACGAAAGUCGGACUUAGUGAUCCGGUGGUACCGCAUGGAAGGGCCAUCGCUCAACGGAUAAAAGCUACCCUGGGGAUAACAGGCUUAUCUCCCCCAAGAGUCCACAUCGACGGGGAGGUUUGGCACCUCGAUGUCGGCUCAUCGCAUCCUGGGGCUGAAGUAGGUCCCAAGGGUUGGGCUGUUCGCCCAUUAAAGCGGUACGCGAGCUGGGUUCAGAACGUCGUGAGACAGUUCGGUCCCUAUCUGUCGUGGGCGCAGGAAAUUUGAGAGGAGCUGUCCUUAGUACGAGAGGACCGGGAUGGACGUACCGCUGGUGCACCAGUUGUUCCGCCAGGAGCAUGGCUGGGUAGCUACGUACGGACGGGAUAAGCGCUGAAAGCAUCUAAGCGUGAAGCCCCCCUCAAGAUGAGAUUUCCCAAUUAGUAAGACCCCUUGAAGACGACGAGGUAGAUAGGUUGGAGGUGGAAGUGCAGCAAUGCAUGGAGCUGACCAAUACUAAUCGGUCGAGGGCUUAUCCUAU